rnacentral:lncRNA from 1 species
CAUUUUCUUCUCUGGACUGAGUUUCCCCCGGUGCCAUUGAUUUUUCCGUACCGUCGUAAUAGACGAGGUCUUCUGAGCUCUCUUUUUCUGUGAAGAAGGGUGGUUACCGAAGAUCCAAAGCAAAGGAAGAGCGAGCUAUGAUUCCCAGUUCGUUAAUCAAUAGAAGAUACCCACGGGUUACUUCCUUUCUACACAGGAACGGAACGAGUUGACCAGACCAUUCAACAUCCGAAGGACUCUUACCGCUAGAACGACCGAUGCCUGAUUCAUUUCUCGCUCACGACCCCUUAAGGUUUGCACUCACUCUCUUUCGAUAGAAAAAGGAAGAAAUUACCGGGAGUUGAAGAGUAAGAAAAGGUCUUCCCCUUAGGCCUUUAGACCUGACCAAGAGAAGUAAGACCGGUAGCCAAUAACUCAGAAAGAAAGGUCCCUCGAGCUUUCUUAGUAGUUAGACGAGUGCUCAGAUCAAG